rnacentral:rRNA from 1 species
UACGAAGGGGGCGAGCGUUGUUCGGAUUUACUGGGCGUAAAGGGCGCGCAGGCGGCCAUUCAAGUCAGGCGUGAAAGCCCCGGGCUUAACCUGGGAGGUGCGCUUGGGACUGGGUGGCUAGAGAUCGGGAGAGGAGAGUGGAAUUCCCAGUGUAGAGGUGAAAUUCGUAGAUAUUGGGAAGAACACCGAUGGCGAAGGCAGCCUCCUGGGCCAGCACUGACGCUCAUGCACGAAAGCGUGGGGAGCAAACAGG